UUUUGAAAAAAUUUUUAUGUGGCAUUUACCAUUUCUUACGUCAUAAUAACUCUGGCAUGGAUGCUUGGCUUCAACUCAUUGGCUUGGCUUUAUGAUUCUUUUCUUGCAUUGCAGCAUUUUUCUUUUGCUUAAUUGAGUUGUGUUGCUAUAUAUUUAUUUAUUUGUUUUAAAAAAAAAUUCAAGUUAUCAAAAAGAGAAAACGGGAAAUACAGUGACUAGAUCAUUUGCUGGUCCAUCUUUAUGAUGUUUGAGGAGCGAAUAAAAUCUGGGAUACCUGGAGAUGGGAGAUGCUUGUUCAGGUCUGUGGUCCAUGGUGAUUGUUUGAGAUUAGGAAAGCCAUCUCCAAGUGAAGCCGAUGAGAGAGAGCUGGCUGAUGAGCUCAGAGCCAAAGUGACAGAUGAACUUAUCAAAAGACGAGCAGAUACAGAGUGGUUUGUUGAAGGUGAUUUUGACACGUAUGUUAUGAAAAUGAGGCGGCCCCAUAGUUGGGGAGGAGAGCCUGAGCUACUAAUGUCUUCCCAUGUUUUACAGGUUCCUAUCACAGUGCAUAUGUUGGAUAAGAAGACAAAUUCCCUCAAAGUAAUAGCCGAGUAUGGUCAAGAAUAUGGAAAGGAAAAUCCAGUGCGUGUUCUAUAUCAUGGUUAUGGGCAUUAUGACACAUUAAAGAACCAGUUUGGAGGCCUACAGUUAAAAAGUCUUCAUCAGCAACUGUUGCAGUGACACUACCUUUUGCGAAGCCAUUUCCUGACGUCUCUAGAAUUGAGGUUUUUGUUGACGAAAACUUCAAAAGGUGGCAAGAACGUGUCUACUCUCUACUCGACAUACAUGGAGUGGCCUAUGCACUGACGGAAUCUCAACCUGCUGCCACCAUAGAUGUCAAGAUACAAGAGUCGUGGAAAUAUGCCAAUAAGGUUAUGGAGCGUAUAUAGCCGUAUAGGCUAUAUGAUUAUAUCAGAUCCUCGUCAAAACAUGCAUCCCACGACUUUAUUCAUCAGCUCUGUGGCUGUAUGACAUAUCAGGGAAAUGUGAUAGGGAGGGGUUUUAUUCAUCAGCUCUGUGGCUUCAUCAGAAACAUCCCAAGACUUUGGCUUGCAAUGCUCCCGCAAUAGCAUAAUUCGGGUACUUCAAGGAUUUGCCAGAGAUUCUGCAUAGACUCCUCAAAGGUCCUGACCUCCAGGAAAAGGUAAGAGGGAGAUAGCAAAAAGGAAGCUGUACGGCGGAGAAGAAUGGUGCAAGAAAUUAAUGCUGCUGCCCAGAAUCGCAACCGAGGAACAGAGGAUUGCUUCAGGCAAGAAGUGUGUAGAGAGGUACAACAGCGAUCCAGUUUUCAGGUUCUUACACAAUCAGGUCGCACAUCUUUUUGCUGAGGCCUUGAAGAAUGAUAUGGAGAAUGUGAAGAUGGGAAAGCUCAGGAAUAUAAGCUUUGCAGCAAAAUGGCGUCCCUCUCUCUAUGCUGAAUGUGAUCGGUCCACGCUCAAGGAGAAUAUUUCCUCCAGACUUGCCUGAAUAUGACGGAAUUGAAGAUGCUCAUUCUGCAUAUAGAGUUCGGGAUCGAUUACGAAAGGAAGUCCUUGUACCACUCUGCAAGGCUCUCAAGCUGCCUGAGAUUUAGCCGACAGAUGGAAUGAGCUUCCUUAGGGCAGAGUUCCCUCAAUUGCAAUGCAGAAUUACGAAGAGUUGUUCCUUAAACAUGACGAGGAACGGUUCGGAGAGUAUCUUGAUAGCGUCAAGAGUGGAAAGCAAAAGAUUGCCGCUGGUGCUUUUCUUCCUCAUGAAAUCAUUAAAUCUUUAAAAUAUGGCGACGAUAACCAAGUUUCGGAGUUGCAAUGGAAGAGAAUUGUUGGUGAUCUUUGUACAAUUGGGAAGUUGAAAAAUGCCCUUGCUAUUUGUGAUGUCUCAGGAAGCAUGCAUGGAACCCCAUUGGAUGUCUCUGUCGCACUUGGACUGCUCGUUUCAGAGUCGAGUGAAGAUCCUUGGAAAGGGAAGCCCUUCCUCGGUUAAUUACAUAGAGAUCCUUAAUGAAUAAACAUUUCUAGAAAACUGUUUGGCAUGCCUUAAAGGGCCAAAUAAAUACAAACAAACUUGAAUGAAAAGGAAUGCACAAGAGUCCUGUCACUGCAGGUUUCAUCUCCACAGUUCAACGGAA